rnacentral:sRNA from 1 species
GCCGGGCAUGGUGGUGCACACCUGUAAUUCCAGUAGCUGGGGAGGCUGAGGCAGGAGGAUCAUAAGUUCAAAGCCAGCCUCAGCAACUUUAGUGAGACCCUGAGCAACUUAGAGAGAACCUGUCUCUA